AAGUUUAUAGAGACUGCUAGACAUUGCUGAGGGCUGUAUUUAAGACGCUGGAGUUGUUUAUUACAAUAUUGUAAGUAAAGUUUUAUUUCUUGCCAUGACUGUAUGACUUUUGCGGGGUUUUGAGAUAGGAUACAUAAACUGUUGAUACUUAAGACCGUUACCUGGGUUCUGACAAGUGAAAUUGAAUUUGAGAUAAUUUAAUUAAUAAAGAUGUCUGUAAGCGAUGUGUGUUUUGGGGUGUCGAAGUAAGAUGUUUUAGGAUUUUUAGAUGGGUUUUGUUUCAGUUUGAGAUAAUAUAUACAGUUACAUUUUCUGUGUGUGUGUUGUUGAGUGACAACAUGCGCAGUUUAAAUUGGGCGCUGUUCCUUCCUCUUUUUAGUUUCAAAACACAAAGGCUAUUAGAUUAAAAAUUACUGUGAGUAACGGUUUGACUUUUGACUAGGGAAAUAAUAUGCUUACUUUUGGGUCUAUGAAGAUAUUUGACCUUCAGUGAUGUUAUGAGAGGUUGAGUUUAUUUUUCUGUUUAAAAACACAUAAGUAUAUGCACUUAGUACACCCACUCAAGAAAUUAUUGUGUGACUGAUGCUACAAAACUGACCUAAAGAAUGGUGAUGUGUGAAAGAGCGCUAUUAAAAUGUGUGUGAGUGAAAUGAAGGCAUAUUGUUGUUAGAUAAAGAGUUAGUAGAAUUACUGAUUAUUUGUAGACUGUGAAACUAAAAGGAAGUCUCUGCAGAAGCUGUAGAAACAGGAAACCGUGUGUGUGUGUGGGACAGGAAAUGCAUGCCCAUAAAAGGAACUGAGUGUGUACAGAAAGAACACAGAGAGGACAUGAGGUUGUUGUCGGAUUUGCUGAGUCAGGGGGCUAGACAGGGUCAGAGCGAAGGUAGUGGACCUGGGAUGGUGUAGUGACGUCUUGGAAGACGUCAAGAGAGGGAAUUGUAGAAUUAUAGAAUUAUUUAUGGUUACUGUUCAUAACCAUCAUUUUAUCAUUGCAUUAAUUAUCAUUUAUCAAGUGUUUAUUGAAGCUGCUGGCAUUAUGUUAUAAUUACAUUAUAGGGGUUAUCAUAAUCAAUAUUAACAUGUUUAUUACAGGUGCAGUUAUAACUACUUAAAAUGAUUGAGUUAAAUAUAUGUAUCAUAACUCAUAGCUGAGUACAUGGUUACAGUAAAAUAGUAGCUGAGCAAAGGCCUGAAUGUAUUCAGCUUCUUGUGGUAUUGAGUUUGCUUAGUUACAGGUGACGGAAGGAUGUCCAGUCCAUGGUGACCUCAAAGGCUUAGUCAUCACCAUAUUCGGAAGAGUAUGCCACAAGGAGGAACUCUGUGUUUGCAUUUAAUUCUUAAAAUACAUGAAUGUUCUGUACAUGCAAAUUAUGUGCUUGUAAACGCAAGAAGGGGCGUUACAAUACCCUGAUGUUAUAAAAGCAAUCUAGAGUGUAUUUUGGGUAGAGAUGUACAAUGUUUUGCAGUUUGCACCUCUCCACGCUGCGUGCAUUCAUUAAAAAUCAAUUGUUUGAUUGACUCUUCUGGACCAUCAUUGUUUUACUCUCGUCCUCAAUUUCGAACCCGUACACAAGUCAACAACGGUUCAGUGUUGUGCAGCGCUUCACUGUAAUGUUGGGCAAUCA
ensembl:lncRNA